AUUGAACGCUGGCGGCAUGCUUUACACAUGCAAGUCGAACGGUAGAGGGGGCAACCCCUUGAGAGUGGCGAACGGGUGAGUAAUGCAUCGGAACGUGUCCAGUCGUGGGGGAUAACGCAGCGAAAGCUGUGCUAAUACCGCAUACGAUCUCCGGCUGAAAGCGGGGGCCCGGAAGGCCUCGCGCGACUGGACCGGCCGAUGUCAGAUUAGGUAGUUGGUGGGGUAAAGGCUCACCAAGCCAACGAUCUGUAGCUGGUCUGAGAGGACGACCAGCCACACUGGGACUGAGACACGGCCCAGACUCCUACGGGAGGCAGCAGUGGGGAAUUUUGGACAAUGGGCGCAAGCCUGAUCCAGCAAUGCCGCGUGCAGGAAGAAGGCCUUCGGGUUGUAAACUGCUUUUGUACGGAACGAAAAGGUCUGGGUUAAUACCCUGGGCACAUGACGGUACCGUAAGAAUAAGCACCGGCUAACUACGUGCCAGCAGCCGCAGUAA
rnacentral:rRNA from 1 species